rnacentral:lncRNA from 1 species
GGCCGAUAUAUAUGUCUUUUUAUAUCACAAUGCUGGUAAUCCUCUCUUUCUUGGGGACAAAGCCAGUCUGAGACAAGGGAACAGUCACCCCUGCCCUCCUUGAAGAGAAACUGGAGCAUGUGGGAGUGUGAAUGGGAAUGGGGGACACUGGCUGGGCCCCUGCCGCACCCCAGUGGUGGCACUGGUCUGGUCCAGGCCUUGAGGCUUUCUAGCAGAUGCUCCUGCAAUCUGAGCUUCCUGUUUCUCUGCAGAAAAUGCGGCAGUCACCCCCACCUCCACCCCACACACAGCUGGGCUGCUGUGUGGCUCAAAUGAGACUCUGCAUUUGGGGCCCUUUGUAAACUGUAAAAUCCUGCACACCCCUAAGGUGUGGUAGAAGAUGGGGGCUGGGAUGGGAGAGGGUCUCUAAUGGGCUUGCAGACCCUCUCUGCCAUCGGAGUCUCUUGGGAGGGGGGCACCCUACUGAGGCUGCUUGCAGGUGCAGGGACAGGGAAGGGACUGCAACACCUCCUGGGGUGUCUGCCUUCCUACCUCCCUGGAGCCAGGUGCCUCAGCCCAGAGCCAUCAUGCCACCAAAUUUGCUCAGUCCCUUUCUCCCCUAGAGAGAACACCCUCAUUCUCAGGACAAAUGUACCAGCGUCCAGGAAGGAAGAGGAGCCAGCCUUUGGGUUCCCAACACCAAUGUCAAUGGCUUGGAUCUCCUCCAGCCCCACAUCUGGUGGGGGUGGGCAGAGGAAGCAGGAAAAGCAGGUGUGUGAUGGGAGAUGGGGUAACCACCCUGUGUUGCUUAGAUCACACAAGCAUCAGUGAAGGACCCCAUGGGCAGGCACUGUUAGAAACUAUGGGGUACAGACAGGACACCUACCCUGGCUUCAUCACAGAUCACCUCAUAUUGUGCCCAUUAUACAGGUGAGGAAACUGAGGUACAGUGAGAUGAAUGCAGUGACUUGCCUGCCAUUCCAGAGCUAGUAAAGGAACAGCUCUGGCCAGGCAUGGUGGCUCACGCCUGUAAUCCCAGCAUCUUGGGAGGCCAAGGGGAGGCGGAUCACCUGAGGUCAGGAGUUCAAGACCAGCCUGGCCAACAUGGUGAAACCCCAUCUCUACUAAAAAUACAAAACUUAGCUGGGCAUGGUGGCAGGCGCCUGUAAUGCCAGCUUGGGAGGCUGAGGCAGGAGAAUCACCUGAACCCAAGAGGCAGAGGUUGCAGUGAGUGGAGAUGGUGCCACUGCACUCCAGCCUGGGCGAAAGAGCAAGACUCCAUCUAAAAAGAAAAGAAAAGGAAAAAGAAAAUAAGAAAAAAGAAACAAAAGGGAAAAGGGGGUCUUACUCUGUUGCCCAGGCUAGAGUGCAGUAGUGCAAUCAUAGCUCACUGCAA